rnacentral:rRNA from 1 species
ACGAAGGGUGCAAGCGUUACUCGGAAUUACUGGGCGUAAAGCGUGCGUAGGUGGUGGUUUAAGUCAGAUGUGAAAGCCCUGGGCUCAACCUGGGAACUGCAUUUGAUACUGGAUCACUAGAGUGCGGUAGAGGAUAGUGGAAUUCCCGGUGUAGCAGUGAAAUGCGUAGAGAUCGGGAGGAACACCAGUCGCGAAGGCGACUAUCUGGACCAGCACUGACACUGAGGCACGAAAGCGUGGGGAGCAAACAG